UACGGGGGGGGCAAGCGUUGUUCGGAAUUACUGGGCGUAAAGGGCUCGUAGGUGGCCAACUAAGUCAGACGUGAAAUCCCUCGGCUUAACCGGGGAACUGCAUCUGAUACUGGAUGGCUUGAGUUUGGGAGAGGGAUGCGGAAUUCCAGGUGUAGCGGUGAAAUGCGUAGAUAUCUGGAGGAACACCGGUGGCGAAGGCGGCAUUCUGGACCGACAUUGACGCUGAGGAGCGAAAGCCAGGGGAGCAAACGGG
rnacentral:rRNA from 1 species